rnacentral:rRNA from 1 species
GAUGAACGCUGGCGGCGUGCCUAAUACAUGCAAGUCGAGCGAACAGAUAAGGAGCUUGCUCCUUUGACGUUAGCGGCGGACGGGUGAGUAACACGUGGGUAACCUACCUAUAAGACUGGGAUAACUUUGGGAAACCGGAGCUAAUACCGGAUAACAUUUGGAACCGCAUGGUUCUAAAGUGAAAGAUGGUUUUGCUAUCACUUAUAGAUGGACCCGCGCCGUAUUAGCUAGUUGGUAAGGUAACGGCUUACCAAGGCAACGAUACGUAGCCGACCUGAGAGGGUGAUCGGCCACACUGGAACUGAGACACGGUCCAGACUCCUACGGGAGGCAGCAGUAGGGAAUCUUCCGCAAUGGGCGAAAGCCUGACGGAGCAACGCCGCGUGAGUGAUGAAGGGUUUCGGCUCGUAAAACUCUGUGAUUAGGGAAGAACAAAUGUGUAAGUAACUGUGCACGUCUUGACGGUACCUAAUCAGAAAGCCACGGCUAACUACGUG